AUCCACUGAGGUCAUGGAGCUGACAUUCUUGAUAAGCUUCCUACUGAUCUUCCCUACAUAUGUUUCAUCCCAGAUUACCCUGUCAGAGUCUGGUGGUGGUGUGAAGAGGCCUGGAGAGACGCUACAACUGACAUGUAGCGUGUCUGGAUUUUCUCUCACAAGCUAUGGCAUGGACUGGGUCCGUCAACCCCCAGGAAAGGGACUGGAGUGGACUGGAGUUAUCUGGAGUGGUGGAAGCACUCACUACAAUAGCGCUCUGCAAUCUCGGAUCACCAUCACAAGGGACACCUCCCAAAGCAAGGUUUUCCUGCAACUGAGGGACCUGAAGAAUGAAGACUCUGCCAUGUAUUACUGUGCGAGAGACACACUGAGGAAACCCUUCUGA